rnacentral:rRNA from 1 species
AACGAACGCUGGCGGCAUGCCUAACACAUGCAAGUCGAACGAGACCUUCGGGUCUAGUGGCGCACGGGUGCGUAACGCGUGGGAACCUGCCUUUAGGUUCGGAAUAACAGUGAGAAAUUACUGCUAAUACCGGAUGAUGUCUUCGGACCAAAGAUUUAUCGCCUUUAGAUGGGCCCGCGUUGGAUUAGCUAGUUGGUGGGGUAAAGGCCUACCAAGGCGACGAUCCAUAGCUGGUCUGAGAGGAUGAUCAGCCACACUGGGACUGAGACACGGCCCAGACUCCUACGGGAGGCAGCAGUGGGGAAUAUUGGACAAUGGGCGAAAGCCUGAUCCAGCAAUGCCGCGUGAGUGAUGAA